rnacentral:rRNA from 1 species
UACGUAGGGUGCAAGCGUUAUCCGGAAUUCUUGGGCGUAAAGAGCUCGUAGGCGGUUUGUCGCGUCUGCUGUGAAAACUGGAGGCUCAACCUCCAGCCUGCAGUGGGUACGGGCAGACUAGAGUGCGGUAGGGGAGAUUGGAAUUCCAGGUGUAGCGGUGAAAUGCGUAGAUAUCUGGAGGAACACCGGUGGCGAAGGCGGCAUCCUGGACCGACACUGACACUGAGGAGCGAAAGCCAGGGGAGCAAACGGG